rnacentral:rRNA from 1 species
UACGUAGGGUGCAAGCAUUGAUCGGAAUUACUGGGCGUAAAGGGCGCGUAGGCGGCUGGAUAAGUCGGAUGUGAAAUUCCGGGGCUCAACCCCGGAGCGGCAUUUGAAACUGUCUAGCUGGAGUGCAGUUAGGGUAAACGGAAUUCCACGUGUAGCGGUGAAAUGCGUAGAUAUGUGGAAGAACACCGGUGGUGAAGACGGUUUACUGGGCUGUAACUGACGCUGAGGCGCGAAAGCAUGGGGGAGCAAACAGG